UGGCGGUGCCUGACGGCGCGUCUGACGCGGAGCUGGGUGGGGUAGAGAGUAGGGGGCGGUAGUCAGGGGUGGUGGGAGAAGGAGGAGGCGGCGGCGGUGAAUCUUCUAUAAAUGGCGCCGAAGCAGGACCCGAAGCCUAAAUUCCAGGAGGGUGAGAGAGUGCUGUGCUUUCAUGGGCCUCUUCUGCACGAAGCAAAGUGUGUAAAAGUUGCCAUAAAGAAUAAACAGGUCAAAUACUUCAUCCAUUACAGUGGUUGGAAUAAAAAUUGGGAUGAAUGGGUUCCGGAAAGCAGAGUACUCAAGUAUGUGGAUACCAAUUUACAAAAACAGAGAGAACUUCAAAAAGCCAACCAGGAGCAGUAUGCAGAGGGGAAGAUGCGAGGGGCUGCCCCUGGAAAGAAGACUGCUGGGCUACAACAAAAAAAUAUUGAAGUGAAAACGAAAAAGAACAAACAAAAGACACCUGGAAAUGGAGAUGGUGGCAGCACUAGUGAAACACCUCAGCCUCCUCGCAAGAAAAGGGCUCGAGUAGAUCCUACUGUUGAAAACGAGGAAUCAUUUAUGAGCAGAGUUGAAGUUAAAGUCAAGAUUCCUGAAGAACUGAAGCCAUGGCUUGUUGAUGACUGGGACUUAAUUACCCGGCAAAAACAGCUCUUCUAUCUUCCUGCCAAGAAGAACGUGGAUUCCAUCCUAGAGGAUUAUGCAAAUUACAAGAAAUCGCGAGGAAACACAGAUAAUAAGGAGUAUGCAGUCAAUGAGGUUGUGGCCGGGAUAAAGGAAUACUUCAAUGUGAUGUUGGGCACUCAACUGCUCUACAAAUUUGAGAGGCCGCAGUACGCUGAGAUCCUUGCAGACCACCCUGAUGCACCCAUGUCCCAGGUGUACGGGGCGCCACAUCUCCUGAGACUGUUUGUACGAAUUGGAGCAAUGUUGGCCUAUACACCUCUGGAUGAGAAGAGCCUUGCUUUAUUACUGAAUUAUCUUCACGAUUUCCUAAGAUACCUGGCAAAGAACUCUGCAACUUUGUUUAGUGCCAGUGAUUAUGAAGUGGCUCCCCCUGAGUACCAUCGGAAAGCCGUGUGAGGCACGUGCACCCACCCAUGUUUGAUCUCUGUAAACACCUUUUUGUUUCUUAGUCCUUCUCUUGUACAAACAAUGUACUUUGGAAAUGUUCGUGUAUAACAAAAUUGAUGUUUGUUUUCUGUUUGAUUUUAAACAGAGAAAAUAAAAGGAGUUACAGCUCCUUUUCUUUCCUUUUUUUCAUUUCAAAGUUGCUACCAGUGUAUUCAGUGAUGGGCAACAGAGAGACAUAACUGUAGAGUGUUUAUUGCUUCGUUGACAAAGCUGCUUUUGAACGCUGGUGGUUUCUAUUCCUUUGACACUACGCACUUUUAUAAUAUGUGUUAAUGCUAUAUGACAGAAUGCUCUGAUUCCUAGUGCCAAAGGUUCAAUUCAGUGUAUAUAACUGAACACUCAUCCAUUUGUGCUCCCCCUUUUUUUUAUGGUGCUUAAAGAGCCCAUCCUUUGCAAGUCAUCCAUCCAUGUUGUUCCUUAGGCAUUUUAUCUUUGCUCAGAUUGUUGAAGAACGGUGGCUUGUUUCAUGGUUUUUGUAUUUGUGUCUAAUGCACGUUUUAACAUGAUAGACGCAAUGCAUUGUGUAGCUACAGUUUUCUGGAAAAGUUAAUCUUUUAGAAAUUGUUUUUCAGAUCUUCAAUAAAUUUUUUCUUUAAAUUUCAAAAAAAAAAAA